rnacentral:rRNA from 1 species
UAAUACGUAGGGUGCGAGCGUUGUCCGGAAUUACUGGGCGUAAAGAGCUCGUAGGCGGUUUGUCGCGUCGUCCGUGAAAACUUGGGGCUCAACCCCAAGCUUGCGGGCGAUACGGGCAGACUUGAGUACUGCAGGGGAGACUGGAAUUCCUGGUGUAGCGGUGAAAUGCGCAGAUAUCAGGAGGAACACCGGUGGCGAAGGCGGGUCUCUGGGCAGUAACUGACGCUGAGGAGCGAAAGCGUGGGUAGCAAACAGGAUUAGAUACCCUGGUAGUCCACGCCGUAAACGGUGGGCGCUAGGUGUGGGUUUCCUUCCACGGGAUCCGUGCCGUAGCUAACGCAUUAAGCGCCCCGCCUGGGGAGUACGGCCGCAAGGCUA